CCAUCAACUAAUCAACCAAGAUCGAGAAUAAGUCACUAUGUCAUCAUCGAGAAUGAGGAAGGACAACAAAAAACAUCCCCACCAUGAACUCCAAAUGUGAGAGUAGAUGAAGUGGCCUGCUAAGACCCAAGACUAAAAAAGACAGGCUAGAAAUCAUCUUUGGAUAAAGCUAGAUGAUUCAACUACAAGAUGGAGAACCAUAUGUUCCCCAUCUUUAGUUUUGAUUUAGUAAAAGCUAAAUCAUUUAAAUAGGGGACC
rnacentral:lncRNA from 1 species